UUUAUUAUGGUUUUGUUUGUUACCAAGGUCAAAGGUUGCUUUUCACCAUUUGUCAGUAGAGACUGUAUUUUAGUGUAUAUCAGUCUUUGGGUGCUUGAUAAAAUGUGUGGAUUCUCAGACCCCUUCAAAUAAAACUCAUAUGCAGGAGUCAGUAUGAGUAGCAAGCUCCCUCCCAUGUGAUACACCUGGUUCUUUGAGAAACUUCUGCCUGAAGGUAUAUCUUCAAAACUAACUCAUUAAUAUUACCUCAUCGUUAACACAUUUUUCAUUACAUAUUCUAAACUAGUCUUAAAAUAAGCAAGACUUUGCUGUUAAGAUGAUUAUUUUAUUUAGGAAUGUACUUAAAUAUUUUAGUUUUCUGUGAGCUCUCUUGCUUUAGCUCAUAGCAGGAUUGAGUUGAUGUGAGGUCACGUUACCAUUUUAUCUUUACAGAAAGCCUGUGGGGUAGGUACACAGGUGUUAUCAUCUUCAUUUUAUACACUGUAAGUUAGACAAAUGGAAAUUGAAUAACCUUCCCUUAGCCACCAUGACAAUGGCAGCUGAGCUGGGCUAGAAUGUAUGAAUCAGCACCUGGGCUGAUACUCUUCCCAUGCUACCAGAAUGUAAAUGAUCUAAGCCAGAAGUGUCAAAAAUAUACAUGUAGAAAUAUACAGAACAUGGAUAUAUUACAUAUAUAUUACAACUAUUAUUAGAUGCUGAAAAUUUUAAUUAUAAAAGUUACACUGCUCAUACUUUAGCAAUUUUUAUUUUUAAUUUUUGAGAUUUGGGGUGAUUUCAACAUAUUUUUAGAUGAUAAGCUUGCUUAUCUUAAAGCCUUUAGACUGAGUUCCAGAAGGGCAAAGGGCAUGCAUUUUGUUUCUUGGUUUCUCAUUGCCUCGCCUGGUCUUUGGUGGAGAAUGCCCAGGAUUUCAACAAAUCUUUAAUGAAUAAGUAAAUGCUUGUGUGAAGGAAUAACUCAUAGGUUUUGUGCCAAGAAGGAGCAUUUGAGAAAAAAUCCAUAUUAUUGCACUAAUGUGGGAAAGGAUUAUCAUUGGAGUUUCAGUUUCUAAGUGGGGAGGUCACACGCUCUUGAAUCAUGAGUACAUGGUAGUCAAUUAAGAAGCACAAUGAUCAUAUGAAUAUAUAUUUUCAUAAAAGUGUGGCUAUAUAGUACGGGGCACUAUAGACUUCACAGUUGACCUUCAGUGAAUUAAAACAAGGUGUGCUGGUUAGUUUUACCAGCACAUUUACCAGCACAUUAAAACAAGGUGUGCUGGUUAGUUUUACCAGCUUGACUCAAGCUAGGGUUACCUGGGAAGAGGAAACAUUACCUGGGAAAAUGUUCCAUAGCAAAUGGCCAAUGGGUCAAUCUACUGGAAACCUCUUUCUUAAUCCAGGAUUGAUAUGGAAGAACCCAGCCCACUGUGCGUGGUGCUACCCCCGGGCGAGUGGUCCUGGGUUGUAUAAAAAGACGAAGUGAGUGAGCCUCGGAGAGCAGCCAAGCAUGGUCUCUGCUUCAGGUCUUGCCUCCAGGUUCCUGCUUGAGUUCUUGUAAGCGCUUCCUCUUCACAAUGAAAGUAAAAUAAUCCCACUCCACCUAAAUUCCUUUGGUCUUUAUCAUAAUAGAAAGGAAAGUAGCACAUGGUGGGGGCGGGGAGGGGCAGGGAUUAAUUUCGAAGCAUCGUGAUUUUAGAAACUAUCUCAGAACUCUUCAUAGGACCCAUAAAGGACCUAGUUCUGAAUCUAAAACAAGACCAUCAUUGUGGUUGUGUGGGCACAAGAAACAAGUUUCUUCUUGUUUUACUUCAGAGGUGAUUUGAUAGUACAGUGUUGUUUCUAACAUUUUGUUCCAUGUUUAGUAGAGAGAUUCACUUGUGUAACAUAUAAUACGAUUUUCUUAGUGCCUCUUCCCAAUGCGUAUACAAUCCCCUUAAAGGCACAGUGCUAUUCUAGAACUGGAUUCUUUCUUGUCAGUCAUUCAUAAUAAAUGUUUCCUGUGUGUGGUUUUGGUAGGGUAAUUAUCUAUUUUCAUUCAUUGCCUUGUACAGUUGCAAUUCAGAACCAGUUUGAGAAAGCUUAUUGAAUCAGUAAUUUAAAUGAAGUUUUGGAUAAACUGGUUUCUAUGUAUCUGCUUAGUUCUUCUUUUAAUUAUGUACAACCAACAAUCCUGAGAUCUUAUUUCUCAAAGGUAUGUGCCUAUUAAAAUACCCCUUUCCUGAACAUCCUUGGGAAGGAUUUAAGCGGAGCAAAUACUUUGCACACUUAUGAAGUUCUUCCUGUUUAAUAUUCUGUGCACUGGUUUAAUCCAGCUUUUGGUGCUUAGCUGAGAGCCCCUCCGUGCAGUCUCAGCCUGUUUCAGGCCUUGGUCUGAGCUUGCUCCAGUGUCUGCAUAACCCUGGGAGUUAGCCUUUACUCUUUCAGUGUCAUCAGCCUUUAAUUGUCAAUGUCCUAAAACUUUGUCCUAAGCAUUUUUCACACUAACACGUUUUUUCCAGAGUUUUCUUUUGGAAGACAAGUGAAUAAGGACAUUACUUUGAGUGUUGCUUGGUUAUUAAUCCAUUUCCCUUCUUAUCAGUCUUGUUACUUUGACCUGGGAGUAAAUUCUGGUUUUGGAAUCCUUCUCAAACUGUUUAGCUCUAAUAAAAAAUUUGAAAACUUCCUUCUGCAGUGGUUAUUCUGCAAAAGUGUUUGAUAGCCAUCUUACUGUGCUUCUUUUCUUAAUGGCCCUUUCUUGAUCUUUUAAAAAAUAAUUAUUCUCCUUUAAUUCCAUAGUAUUUAUGAACUCAUAAUAUUUCGUUUUAUUUCACAUUUUUUUCUUAAAAAAUUUACGUAAAAGAUGAUUUUAUUACUUGGUAUAUAGUUGUUUAACACAUUAGAUUUUUUUUUGACCCUGAUUUCUGAUGAAUUAUCAGAGCUCGACAUCUUGAGGUAUUUCUCCCCAGUUUUCAAGUAGGAAUAAAAUAGAAGAGUUUCAUCUCAAACUACCUUUUCUCUAACUUUGAAUCUUCCUUGACACUCUAGAAUAUUAAUAGAAUUAGCAAGAAAACAGCAUUACCUAAAGAGCUCUCUUUCUGCCCUUAAAAGAUCUGAGCACCCAAGCCCAGAGGGCAUCCAACGUGAGCAAGGAAAUGGGCUUUUAGAAAAGAGCCUCAAGGGCUGGAGAGAUGACUAAGUGAUUAAGAGCACUGACUGCUCUUCCAGAGGUCCUGAGUUCAAUUCCUAGCAACCACGUGGUGACUCACAACCAUCUGUAAUGGGAUCUGAUGCCCUCUUCUGGUGUGUCUGAAGAUGGCAACGGUGUACUCACAUACAUAAAAUAAAUAAAUCUUUAAAAAGAAAAAAAAAAAAAAGAAAAAGUUAAGAGCCUCAAAGAACAAUGUUAGCUUUCUAUCUACACUGUUGUAGUUUUCUAGUGAGUAGAUUUCACCUAUGCCAUGCUGUGUCGCUGCCAUACAGGAGACAUGGCGGUGAAUGUAGUAAGUACAUAAAUGAUGACAAGGAUGCCGCUUCACCCUUUCUUUUCCGUUGAUGCCCCUAAUAUUUGGAAUAAUUCAUUUGAGGUAGAGUUACAUAAAAUAUAUUUAGAUUUCUUUACCUCCACUGUCUACUAAAUUAGUGCUUUCUACCUGUGGGUCUCAAAUGAGAACUCUGUUUAUUGAGAGUCAGUUGUGACUUAACAGGUGUUUGAAAAUGAGAAAGAAAGGCAGAUCUACCAUCCAUCCAUCUAUCUAUCUAUCUAUCUAUCUAUCUAUCUAUCUAUCUAUAGAAAGGAGUGGAGGCUGGCCAUGAGCACAUGGAGGCUGGGGGAGGGGAAUGGGAUGGGGAGAGAGAGGGGGAAGAUGGUAAGGGAGCAAGAGCAGGAAAGCAAGAGAGAGAGGAUGGGGGCAAGCAGCCCCUUUUAUAGUGUGUCAGGCACAUCUAGCUAUUGCCAGGUAACUGUGAGGCAGAGCCUAGAUGAAAUGCCAACAAAUGGCAUGAUUUCAUUUUUUUCCCCAUUUAGCGUCUCAUACUAAUUUGGUCCUAAUGGAAAAUUCGACCGACCUUUUGUUGCUAAUGGUUUUGCAGUCUUUAGCCGCAUUUCUGCGCAGCAGCUGAAAUCCUAAUUGGUUGUAGCUUGGGAUAGAUGACUCAGUCUUUUCGGUUUCCUUGUUUGUUAUCAUGGGUGCCCUCUCUGGGUUCCUCAUAGGAUCUAUCUUCUUUUCUUACUCCAGAUUAAUUUUCUAGUUUUCCUCCUUUGCAAUAGCGAUGCCCUGGUUAGGCAUAUCUAUCUCUUAGUCUCUUUUUGUAUCUUGUCUUCUCCAGUCUUGCCCUCAAAUAGGUCAACAUUACAUCAGUUUUUGACCCCUUGCUUCUCUGGAGCCCUCUCACGGUACCGAUACCGUCUCUUCUCAUCAAAUAACAAACCAUGGCCUAGCCUAGCUGCCUCUGUAGUUGAAGGCCUCUCUGUAUUCACUUUUCUGUCUUUCGCUUUUGUUUGCUUUGGGCUGCUCCUGACCUUGUUCCCCCGCAUCCAAGUCUGUUUAUCAGGGAGCCAGAACAGGCAGCUAACUCUCUUGAGAAUCACUGAGAGAGCAGAUGGUCUUGUUUUUGAGACAUAGAAACAACAGCACAAGGGAACCAGGUCCCUUCCUUUUGUUCAUUCAGCCGUAAAGGAGCAGAGCCAGGAUUCAAAUCCUGAUCUUUUAAGCUGACACCGGAAUCUGCUCAUUGGCGUGGAAUAAUACUGACUACCUGUGCAAAGCCUGUGUCUGUGAGUGCUGACAUGACUGUAUCUGGAUUUUCUGUGGUUUUUCUUCCACUCUUGACUGGGUAGUCUAAUGAAUUUUUCAAGUGUUUUGCUUAUUCGUUGAUAUUUCAUACAUACAUGUAUUGAUACUAUCCACCCCAACUUCCUCCUCUCAGCCUGUUGUUUUGGGAACCAUAGUCAUCAAGUACAGUACCAGGCAGUCUGUCCUAGAAUUCAUGAAAUAUUUGCCUCUUAGACCAAGUGAAGAUAUACAGUCCUAGAGAUACUGAUUUAAAAUACAUCCUGAGAAGGGAGGUGAGGAGAGAUGGAUGAUCAGAGCAGGUGAUGGGAAGAAGCCAUUGAUGAAGUGGACUCUUGGGCUUGGAGUCAAAUUUGUGGGCAGCAGAAGCCAGCAGAAUCAGAUGAUCUUAGAUACCCUAGGAGAGUCAAAUCAGCAGCUUGGUCUGAACAAGCCAGGUCCCUUGGAAGGGAACUCAUAUAUACCAGUUCUGGGCUUGGGCACCAGUCAAGAAUUAUAUGACUGCUUCUAGGUAUGGCUAAGGAGAACGUUUUGUUGUAGAAAGGAGGGAGAAAAUAUCCAGAGGCAUAUGGAAGAGUCCAGACUGAACUGGGCCGUGAGAGGAAGGGAAGAGAGCAGAGAAGGUGCUAAGAGGACCAAGAGAGCACAUGGGAACCAAGAGGGCACAUAGCCCACAUGGCUGAGUUAUAUAGGUCUCAGAAACUGGGAAAGAGAAGUGAGGCCCAGCCCAUGAGCUGGAGAGGUUUAGGAUAGAUAGGGAAUAGGGUGAGAAGGGCUGGGAGGGGCCACAGGUACUGAGUAAGACUUGUCCUAGCUUUCUUUGAGACCUAAUAUUAAUACCCCCAACCAGUCAUCAUAUGUCACCAACUAAAAUCCCCAGUACCAGGAAAGGGUUACUUCUUGAGUUGAGGGUCAAAGGAGUCCCCUCAGACAUUAAGUCUAUGAAUAAUAGUAUUGGUCACUGUCUGCAAUGGCUGAAUGUCAUUGAACAUGGAGAACUAGAGCUGGUGCCCAGUGGGAGGCUCCAUCUUUACCAACUAGCAUUCACAGUGCUGGAAGGCAGUAUGCAUGCUACUGGAAGAGAAACAUAAUCAAUACUACACCACUGUGUGCCCUCAGAUCUACAAUAGUGAGCUUGUGAGUAGUGGCAUAAGUGUUACAGUAGUAACCAACCACGUUCUGGCUGGAUUUAAGGCCUGCUCCAUGUAUGACAGGGUUAAAUGGCAAGAACACAAGGCAAGGUUGUCAGCAUUUCUCUGCUCAAUGAACAUAACAAUAAGUGACUCCUAGUGACAUAUUGCCAAACCCGUAGGUCAGUGCAUUGCUCAGCACUGCCAGAGAAGAUUUGUCUUGCAGUAGAUGGUAAGUGACAGCUGUGCCCACAACUAGACAAUAUGCGGACAGUGAGAGACUUUUGAGUACUCAGCCCUAAAUAGGAUGUCUUUAUCACAAGCCUUAGCUCAAGGUUCAGGGACCCAUGUGAAGGAGGAGGUGGAAAGAUUGUAAGAGCCGGACGUGCAUGACUCCAAGGGAACACCAUCUUCCAGACACUUAGCAGGAUGAGUUCCAAAUGGGAAUUCUCAAAGACUCUGACGGCAUAUGCAAGAACUGUGCAAGUUCUAUCCAGACAAAAUGUCAGCAUGGAAAAGGUGAAGUGGACACAAAGUUGAGCCACUAACCAAAAUGGUAUUUGAAAUGGGGAGAAGAGAGAGAAUGUUUUUCCUUGGAGUUAAAGUGUAUAACAGCCACACUCCCGGCUAGGUCCUGUGCUCAGGAGGAGGUGUGUGUGUGUGUGUGUGUGUGUGUGUGUGUGUGUAGUGUGUGUGUGUGUGUGUGUGUGUGUGUAGUGUGUGUGUGUGUGUGUGUGUGUGUGUGUGUCUGUCCUCUUUUGGGGGGGUUGCUUUGACCUUUUUUUCUUAAAGAGCUAGAACACAUGAUGUGAGGAGGAUCUGGGAUGAGUUGGAAGAGGAGGAAAACGAUCAUCAAACUUUUGAAAACGACAAUAACUACAAAGUAAGGCAAACAGUGACCGAGGAGUAAUAGCUGAGAUAACCCUCCAUCCUCCAUGCAUGUACUGUACACGUGAGCACUUGCGUGCACAGAGAAAAUGAGUCUGGAAGAUAGAAGUGUGUUGGAAAUGCCAACAGGAAAGACAGAGAGCAUGUGUUUGUCUUUGGCCUCUUUUAAAUGCCCUCCAAUGCUCUGAGCCUCACAACAGCCUAAAUGAGUAGUUAGUUUUGAUUCUGAUCAUUUCUGUUUUUACAGACUGGGGAUGUAUAUUAUUUCCCAUCAGCAUUUUUUUUUUUAGUAGAAAAGCGAGGUAUUUUUUUAUUACUUUAUAAGAGGCAAACUAAAGUAAAUAUAUGCACAAUAAUAAGAAACACACAUAAUACAAAAUGCUGUGUUCAUUUAAUGUUGUGCAUGUGUGUAUGUAUAUAGGGCUGAUGUUUUGGGACUAGAUGAGCUUUGGGGACUCGUUUCUGGAGAGACUGAUUCUCCUUCUCUUAACAGCCAUUGGUUGCCUGAAGUUUAAUUUAAUUAGCAUUAUUAUUAUUAUUUUUAAAGUCAGAGGCAUACUAUGUAGUUAUGGCUGGCAUUGAACUCACAGAGAUUAUAUGGCUGUCUUUAGAUAUUUGGGCUUCUGAUUUCUUAUGAAUUAUCAGAACUAUACAUAUUGAUAUAUCUGCCUCCCGAGUGCUGAUAUGAAAGGCAUGUGUUAUCAUACCUAAACAAAAACUAAAUACAUAAAUUCAUAUGCAUACACAUAAUUUAUUGUGUGUGUCUGUGCAUGCCCAUGCAUACAGGUGCAUCUCAUCACACACCUUCAUAGUCAAGGUCAAGGUCAGGAGUCUGCUUGCUGUUGCUACCAUGUGAGUUCCAGGAUUGAAUUUAGGUCAUCCGACUCAGCAGCAGGUACCUUUAAUUGCUGAGACUUCUCUUUGGCCCAAGUUCCUAGGUCUGAAUGGCUUAAUAAAGGUAAAACAGCAUGUGCUACAUCAUAUCUGUUAUGCAGAUUCUCAUAGACGAGAUCUGUAGACUCUUCGUAGUUUCUUUUGACUUUGGCUACUAUCUAGGGUUAAGGAAUACCGUCUGUAAAAUAUUAAUAUAUGAAAAUCACAAGAAUCUCAUGACAGUUAUAAUGUUUAAAUAGAAUAAAUUAAAAAGUGUCUGUUCAUGCUUUAUUUAUGUCUCAUUGUCUGCAAAGAGAUUGGCCCAGAGUAGCAAGGGAGAUUAUCUGGAGAGAAACACAUAUAAUUUCCUUUAAGAUUUGGUUAAAGAAAAUGAAAUUUGAGUUAGUGAACGAGAUAAGUAGACAAAGACUACAUUUGACAUUAACAUGGCGUGUGCAUUGCAGGCUGUACCAGACUUAUCAAAAGAAAAAAAAAAAAUCGGCUUAGCAGACACACUGCUUGGCUGCCCCUGAGCAUUGAUUAGCAUCUGAAUGGUGGGAUGAAAAGAGCUGAAACCAAGCAUUCCCAAAAGAGGCGCAGUGAGGGUUUCUGCCAGAUGGAUUCAUUGUUAGAUACUCAAGGCCUGGCAUAGCUAGGACCUCUCUGGUCAGCAGCGCCACUGAAUCCAAUUUCUUAGGCUUCUUGUGGCUGUGCGAGCCUCAGCCUUGCAUGGCUUGAAACCUGAUCUACUUUUCUUCUCUUUCCAUGCUCUUCCUAACAAAGCUGGAAAGCCUAUUGUGAGACUCGAAGGACGUUCUAUGAAGUCACUCCAAAACUCGUUACAGGGCCAUGUACAUUGUACGUGCUUUGAUGCUCAACCUUGCCCAACCUUUCUUUGUAAUACACACACACACACACACACACACACACACACACACACACACUUUAAAUUCUCAUUCCACUGUGAUAUAGUGGUAAUUAAAGUUUUAGUCCUUUCCAUCAGUCCUUUGGAGAAAGUAUAUUAAAACAACAACAACAACAACAACAACAACAACAACAACAAUCUGUUAGCCUAAUAGAACUUGGCUUAGUCUUGGUUUCCUAGACAGUAGAGCCAGGAACUCUUGCUCUUCCAGGAGUACAGUCUUGGUGCAGCAAGAUCGAGGGAAGAAUGAGGCAAAGCAGGGAGAGAUGUCGGAUAUGAGGCAGGCACUCAUGAUUGAUUUGUAAACACAAGCAGCAUUGUCUCUGUGGGAGCCAUCUGGAAAUACUCAGUCCGAACCAACAGAGGAAGGACAGGGGAAUCCUUUCUCUCUUUUUUUCCUUACCCUGUUAUUUUCACGGGUGAGCCUUUGCACGUAGCCCUCAUGGGUCCUGCUACUUGGGCAUGUGUGCAUGGCUGCUGGAGAGUCAGAUCUUACGACCCAUGGAGUAGAAUAAGACCACAGCUUGCCAAAGAGAAGAUCGAAGGUUGCCAUAUCUGCACGUCAGUCACACCGGGAGAGCCUCAGGUCUUCCUCGGGAAGGAUAAGGCCUUUACUUUUGAUUAUGUGUUUGACAUUGACUCCCAGCAGGAGCAGAUCUACACCCAGUGCAUCGAAAAGCUCAUUGAAGGCUGUUUUGAAGGCUACAAUGCCACCGUGUUUGCCUAUGGACAAACCGGAGCUGGGAAAACCUACACGAUGGGAACCGGAUUUGACGUGAACAUCAUGGAGGAAGAGCAGGGCAUCAUCUCUCGUGCUGUUAGACACCUGUUCAAGAGUAUUGAUGAGAAAAAGACCUCAGCGAUUAAAAACGGGCUGCCCCCUCCUGAAUUCAAAGUGAAUGCCCAGUUCCUAGAGCUCUAUAAUGAAGAGGUCCUUGACUUGUUUGAUACCACUCGGGAUAUUGAUGCAAAAAAUAAAAAAUCAAAUAUAAGAAUUCAUGAAGAUUCAACUGGAGGAAUUUAUACUGUGGGCGUCACAACACGCACUGUGAAUACAGAACCGGAGAUGAUGCAGUGUCUGAAGCUGGGCGCUCUCUCGCGCACCACGGCCAGCACCCAGAUGAACGUACAGAGCUCUCGUUCACACGCCAUCUUUACCAUUCACGUGUGUCAAACCAGAGUGUGUCCCCAAACAGAUGCUGAGAACGCAACUGAUAAUAAGCUGAUCUCCGAAUCGUCGCCAAUGAAUGAGUUUGAGACGCUGACGGCGAAGUUUCACUUUGUUGAUCUGGCGGGAUCGGAAAGACUGAAGAGAACCGGAGCUACAGGCGAGAGAGCAAAAGAGGGCAUUUCCAUCAACUGCGGGCUUUUGGCUCUUGGGAAUGUAAUCAGCGCCUUGGGGGACAAGAGCAAGAGAGCCACCCAUGUCCCUUACAGAGACUCUAAGCUGACAAGACUCUUGCAGGAUUCCCUUGGGGGUAACAGCCAAACCAUCAUGAUAGCAUGCGUCAGCCCUUCAGACAGGGAUUUCAUGGAGACGUUAAACACUCUGAAGUACGCCAAUCGAGCGAGAAAUAUCAAGAACAAGGUGAUGGUCAAUCAAGACAGAGCCAGUCAGCAAAUCAACGCGCUGCGGAGCGAGAUCACGCGCCUUCAGAUGGAGCUCAUGGAAUACAAAACCGGUAAAAGAAUAAUUGACGAGGAAGGCGUGGAAAGCAUCAAUGACAUGUUUCAUGAGAAUGCUAUGCUGCAGACGGAAAAUAAUAAUCUGCGUGUAAGAAUAAAAGCCAUGCAGGAGACCGUUGAUGCACUGAGGGCCAGAAUCACGCAGCUUGUCAGUGAGCAGGCCAACCAAGUUCUUGCCCGAGCAGGUGAAGGGAACGAAGAGAUCAGUAAUAUGAUUCAUAGUUAUAUCAAAGAAAUUGAAGACCUCAGGGCAAAAUUAUUAGAAAGUGAAGCAGUGAACGAGAACCUUCGGAAGAACUUGACCAGAGCCACGGCGAGAUCUCCUUACUUCAGUGCCUCCUCAGCUUUCUCGCCUACUAUACUGUCUUCAGACAAGGAGACUAUCGAAAUUAUAGAUCUAGCAAAGAAAGACUUGGAGAAGCUAAAACGGAAAGAGAAGAAGAAGAAGAAAAGGCUACAGAAACUUGAGGAAAGCGGUCGAGAAGAAAGAAGUGUUGCCGGGAAAGACGAUAAUGCAGACACUGACCAGGAGAAGAAAGAAGAAAAGGGUGUUUCAGAGAAAGAAAACAAUGAGCUAGACGUGGAAGAGAAUCAAGAAGUGAGUGACCACGAGGAUGAGGAAGAGGAGGAAGAGGACGAGGAGGAAGAGGAUGACAUUGAAGGAGAAGAAAGCUCUGAUGAAUCAGAUUCCGAAUCUGAUGAAAAAGCUAACUAUCAAGCCGACUUAGCAAAUAUCACCUGCGAGAUUGCGAUUAAGCAGAAGCUGAUCGACGAACUGGAGAACAGCCAGAAACGGCUGCAGACCCUGAAAAAGCAGUACGAGGAGAAGCUGAUGAUGCUCCAACAUAAGAUCCGGGACACGCAGCUGGAGAGGGACCAGGUGCUCCAGAACCUAGGCUCGGUGGAGUCAUACUCGGAAGAAAAGGCCAAGAAAGUGAAGUGCGAAUAUGAGAAGAAGCUCCACGCCAUGAACAAAGAGCUGCAGCGACUGCAGACGGCCCAAAAGGAGCACGCCAGGCUCCUCAAAAACCAGUCUCAGUAUGAAAAGCAGCUCAAGAAACUGCAGCAAGACGUCAUGGAAAUGAAGAAAACCAAGGUUCGUCUAAUGAAGCAGAUGAAAGAAGAGCAGGAGAAAGCCCGGCUGACAGAAUCUCGAAGGAACCGGGAAAUCGCUCAGCUGAAGAAGGAUCAGCGCAAGCGAGAUCAUCAACUUAGACUUCUAGAGGCCCAGAAAAGAAAUCAAGAAGUAGUUCUGCGACGCAAAACGGAAGAGGUUACAGCUCUCCGCAGGCAAGUGAGGCCCAUGUCUGAUAAAGUAGCGGGAAAAGUUACUCGGAAGCUGAGCUCAUCCGAAAGCCCCGCUCCGGACACAGGUUCCAGUGCGGCUUCCGGGGAAGCAGACACAUCACGGCCAGGCACCCAGCAGAAAAUGAGGAUCCCCGUGGCAAGAGUCCAGGCAUUACCAACACCUACAACAAAUGGCACCAGGAAAAAAUAUCAGAGGAAAGGAUUCACUGGCCGGGUGUUCACUUCCAAGACAGCCCGCAUGAAGUGGCAGCUACUGGAGCGCCGGGUGACCGACAUCAUCAUGCAGAAAAUGACCAUCUCCAACAUGGAGGCGGACAUGAACAGACUCCUCAGGCAACGGGAAGAACUCACAAAAAGGCGAGAGAAACUUUCUAAAAGGAGAGAGAAGAUAGUCAAGGAGAGCGGAGAGGGAGAUAAAAGUGUGGCUAACAUCAUCGAGGAGAUGGAGUCCCUGACAGCCAACAUAGAUUACAUCAAUGAUAGCAUUGCCGACUGUCAAGCCAACAUCAUGCAGAUGGAGGAGGCAAAGGAAGAAGGGGAGACAUUGGAUGUCACCGCUGUCAUUAAUGCCUGUACACUGACAGAAGCUCGGUACCUGCUAGAUCACUUCCUGUCAAUGGGCAUCAAUAAGGGUCUGCAGGCUGCCCAGAAAGAGGCUCAAAUUAAAGUCCUCGAGGGUCGACUCAAACAGACCGAAAUCACCAGUGCAACCCAGAACCAACUCUUAUUCCAUAUGCUGAAGGAGAAGGCAGAGCUAAACCCAGAGCUGGAUGCCUUGCUAGGCCACGCACUGCAAGAUCUAGAUGGCGCCCCACCAGAAAACGAGGAGGACAGCAGCGAGGAAGAUGGCCCUUUACACAGCCCGGGGUCGGAGGGAAGCACGUUAUCUUCAGACCUUAUGAAGCUUUGUGGUGAAGUGAAACCAAAGAACAAGGCUCGAAGGAGAACCACCACUCAGAUGGAGUUGCUGUAUGCAGAUAGCAGUGAAGUAGCCUCAGACACUAGUGCAGGAGAUGCCUCCUUGUCUGGCCCUCUGGCACCUGUUGCAGAAGGGCAGGAGAUUGGAAUGAACACAGAGACAAGUGGUACUUCUGCUAGGGACAAAGAGCUUCUUGCCCCAUCUGGCUUACCUUCUAAGAUAGGCAGCAUGGUCUCACUAUGGAGCCGUGGAUGGCAUGGGAUUUGCUGUGUAGACCAGGCUAGCCUCUGGAUCUCAAGUGCUGAGAUUAGAGAUAUAAAUUAACAUGACCAACACCUUUUCAGACUCUUCUUUACCUUGAAACUAAUUGUAUGUCUGGGAUGAAUGGGGGUGAAUAAAUACUUUUCUUGUCAGUAAGAAUUGAAGAAGAAAGUCCCUAUUGAAAAGAUAUCUGUAACAGCAAGCUCUUCUAAAUAAAACAAGUGCUGCAUAGCACAUAGUAUAUGAACAUAUUCUCUUCACUUUUGUUAGGAGUGCGUGUGCGCCAGUGUACAUGUGUGCACCUGUGUGUGUGUUUGAGUGUGUGUCGGUAGUUACAUUAAAAUUAGAACUUUAUUUCCCUUUGUUUUAGAUUUUCAUUUAUUACGUGUGUAUAUGAGUGUUUUCCAUGUGAGUGUGUUGUGCCUAUAGAGGUCAGAAGAGCAGGUCUGAUAACCUAGAACUGUAGUUACAAAUGGUCAUGAGCCACCAUGUGGGUGUUGGAAAUUGAACUUGGGUCCUUUGAAAGAGCAGCCAGUGCUCUUACCCACUGAGCAAUCUCUCUAGCUCCCGACUUGUAAAGAUUUUUAGUGGUGCUUUUUGCAAACUAACUCUUAUGUAGCAAAUGAUUUCUGAUACGAAUGCACAUAUAUGAGAAACAUCACGCCUAAAGCAGCAUGCACUAUACAAUGCUACAGAUAAUACAAAGUAGAAUAAACUUGCUACGUGUGUCUGUUUCCCAUAACCUUCCUUUUGUGAAGGCACUCCCAUUCUCUUCCAUUCAGCAGUUGCAUCUACGAUCUUUAGUUAAUUAAUUUUAAUGACAGAAUUUUCCUGCAUGUGCUUGUGUGAUUAAUGUUGGAUGCUGCUAACCAGCGUAACCACGGCUUCAGUGCUGUGAUAGGACGAGGGCGCAACAGUUUUAGUCAAGGUAGUGACACCAAUAAGGGACAGCUAGAGACUUGCAUGUGUUCAGCGUUUAGUGUGCCUUACGACAGGCACGUUAAGAACUUCAGGACUAAGUCUGUGACCUGGAAUCUCCAUUCAGUUCCAGACAGUCAUCUCUAUCAGAAAAAAAAGUGCCAGAGCCUUCCCCUGUAACAAGGAGAAAGGCAUAUGAGAAGGCAGAUAAACCAAAGGCGAAGGAACAUAAACAAGGCAUAAUCAACCCAUUUCCUGCCUGCAAAGGAGUCAGAGCCUCUCCUCUUCAGUGCGUUCACAUAGCUGAAGGGCACACCAAGGCUGUGCUCUGUGUGGAUUCUACGGAUGAUCUUCUCUUCACCGGAUCAAAAGAUCGCACUUGUAAAGUAUGGAAUCUCGUGACUGGACAGGAAAUUAUGUCCCUGGGGGUUCACCCUAACAACGUGGUGUCUGUAAAAUACUGUAAUUAUACCAGUCUGGUCUUCACCGUGUCGACAUCUUAUAUUAAGGUGUGGGAUAUCAGAGAGUCAGCAAAAUGCAUUCGAACAUUAACAUCUUCAGGUCAAGUUACCCUUGGAGAAGCGUGUUCUGCCAGCACCAGCCGGACAGUAGCUAUUCCUUCCGGGGAGAGCCAGAUCAAUCAAAUUGCACUAAACCCAACUGGCACUUUCCUCUACGCGGCCUCUGGAAAUGCCGUCAGAAUGUGGGACCUUAAAAGGUUUCAGUCUACAGGAAAGCUAACCGGACACCUGGGUCCUGUUAUGUGCCUUACGGUAGACCAGAUCUCCAAUGGACAGGACCUCAUCAUCACUGGCUCAAAAGACCACUACAUCAAAAUGUUCGAUGUGACUGAAGGGGCUCUUGGAACUGUAAGUCCCACCCACAACUUCGAGCCUCCUCAUUAUGAUGGGAUAGAAGCACUGGCCAUUCAAGGCGAUAACCUAUUCAGUGGGUCCAGAGAUAAUGGAAUCAAGAAAUGGGACUUAGCUCAGAAAGGUCUUCUUCAGCAAGUCCCAAAUGCACACAAAGACUGGGUGUGUGCCCUGGGCCUGGUGCCAGGCCAUCCGGUUUUGCUGAGUGGCUGCAGAGGCGGCAUUCUGAAACUCUGGAAUGUGGACACUUUUGUGCCCGUUGGAGAGAUGAGAGGUCAUGACAGUCCCAUCAAUGCCAUUUGUGUUAACUCCACCCAUGUCUUUACUGCUGCUGAUGAUCGAACCGUGAGAAUCUGGAAGGCCCACAACUUGCAAGAUGGUCAACUCUCUGACACCGGCGAUCUGGGGGAGGAUAUUGCCAGUAAUUAACAUGGCUGGGCAGAAGCAGAAGCCGACACUGUGACGACGCUCCGUGUUCUUUAUUAAAAACGAUGUCCCGCACUUAUUACUAGUGGAAUCAACUGGAAACAUAUCUCAAUCCAUGGCUAGAUAAUGUGUAUCCUAAUAAAAUUGUUCUGCUUGUAUAUGAAAUAUUAAUAUCUACCAACACAUAGACUUCCUAAAAUCGAUAUAUUGCUUGAAUCACACUUUUACUGUGGCUGAAUUUUUUGUGCCUAGUUAUAAAAAAGACACUUCGAAUUAUUUGAGUUAUAAAUAGCUUUUGUGACAGGAGCAUACCCAGAAUAAAACACGCCUACCUGUUAACUCGUUCAAAUAAUGUGGUCAUAACUUACACAUUUAAGCGUAUAUUGGAAUUGUUAACUCAAAUUGUAGUCAAAAAAAAAAAAUCAGGAAUUUUGUCCGUGUAUAAGGGGUUCUAAGUUUCAAAGCUUGUUCAGUGUGAUGGAAUAACAAGAUGAAUUAUUGGUGAUUUUUCAUAAUCGAUGUGGUCUACUAAGAAAGAUAACAAUUUGUGCUAAAAUGCCCAUGUUUACCUGUAUUGACCAAAGCUUUCAGUUGUUCUUCAUUCUGUGCUCAGGAUUGAAAUGCUGCGUAGACGUUGUGUUGUUAGUGCUGGGCACGGAUUCUGGGACGGUGAGCUGUUGAUUUCCUAACAGAAAGAUAUUUUGAUCUAUUUUCCUAUGGAAUUGUUUCUAUUAUUAUCUUUUAAUUUCUUUUUUUAUUUAAUAGUAAUAGCUCCUUUCUCCUUCCUCUGAUUUUUAUAUGCUGCUAAAUAUAUUUUAAAUAUACUGUGUUUGCACACACUGGUAGCUAUGUGUUUGCACACAUUGGUAGACUGUUAUCAUUUGUGGUGGGAACCCAUGUAAAUAAGUAGACUGUAAAGAGAGACUAUCUUGCAUUAUGACUGUAUGAAUUUCUAAGUGCUGUUUGAUUGGGUUUUGUUACAGGAUGUAUAAUUUAUCUGUCUACUCAGAAUAUUAAUUUGUAAAUUCUGCAAGGUUAAUUUUAUGUAAUGGUAUAACUUUUGAAAUUAUUGUCUUAUGUUAUUUGUUUUUUUUUUUUUUUUGCCCUGAAAAUAUUUGUUUGUAAAUGAAAGUUUAGCUAGUGCUUAAAUAAACAUGUGCUAUGAAUUGUUUCUAUUA